CCUGCGCCUCACCAUCCCACCCGUUCCAGCCAAAGAAAAUAAUAAAGCCACCCAUCUCAAUACUAGCUACCACGACAGCCUCCCCAAAUUUCCCCACCAAGCGACCUCCAAUCGCGCCGCCGUAGAAAAUUAAGCGGCACCCCGACCAACCGUCGUCGAGGACCAACUAGCCAAGCCCCAGGCGCCUUCUCCUCAUCCUCUCAACCUCUCUAGGCUCCAUGGACGGGGGUAGCCAUAGUAGGACCAGCCGGCCGUGGUCGAGAUCUCGGUGUGCAGGCCGGAGCUGGAGAAGGAAGGGCUGCCGGAGCUGGAGAAGGAAGAGAUGCGUGUCCAUGUCAUCUGCUCGUGGGUUGUGGAUUUUCUAGCCGACCACCACGAAUUCCUAAACAUGCAGUGUGGUUUCCGUUGCUGCCGUCUCCGUCCAUGGGAUUUUCAAGAUGUAGAUUCAUGUUGGUAGCCUGUCGCAACUUUCAUUGUUUUUUUCUUGACACUUUUUCUGUUCCUAGUCCAGAUCCAUAAGUUUCAGAUAUUUCCUAGUGCUCCUCUUCGACGGCUCCAUCCCACGGCUGUCGAUCUUGUCUCUGCCUUGGUGGGUUGGAGCAGAUUAUGGUCAUGUUGCGCUGCCUCUCCCUGCAUCUUGCGAUGCGGCCGGCCGUGACGUGUGCAACGGAAGCAGUUGGAAGAUGGGACCUCGCUCGCGGUGGUAAUUGAUGUGCCGCGUUGCCUCCUCCAAUGAUUUUUUUUUCGACGCACGAACCUUCCGCGGGGCGAGUCUACCACCGAGGGCAUCUGCAUUAGGAGUUCCGGCCUCUCCGUCGUCGCCGGCACACCAGUGACGCCCAUCUCCGCGCUCCGUUCAUCAAUGAUCUGACAGUGACGAUGCUACAUGCCGUGGGCAUGUGCAGCCUAUUGGUGUUCGUUUGGAUCGAUUUCUAUUCUGGAUUUGGAUUUGUUUAUCUUUGUAAUUUUCCCAAUGUUGUUCAACGAUUGAGGGAAUCAGAAAAAAUCAGGCCCAUGUGAUUUUGGUAGUGGUGAUAGGCUUCUCCAUCGGCAGCUCGACCUCGCCUGUCGGAAGGAGACUGAUCUUGGUUUAUUUAUGGAUUUCGUGAGCUGAGCAUUUUUUGUUUCGAUCCAGAAUUUUACAGGAUGCACCAUUGGAUUUACCUUGACAAUGAAUAAACAUGCAUGAAGCUUGUAAUC